GUGCUCACUUUGGCAGCACAUAUGCUAAAAUUGGAAAGAUAACAGAGAAGAUGAGCAUAGCCCCUGUGCAAGGGUGACACGCAAAUUCAUAAAGCGUUCCAUUUUUUU
ensembl:snRNA U6 U6 spliceosomal RNA